CAUUUGCCUGUAUUCAAUCUACAAACACUAAAAACAAGUUUACUAGUCGUAUUUUACUCGUAUGUACUCGUAUUCUACUCGUAUUCUACUCGUAUGUACUCGUAUGUACUUGUGUUUUACUCGUAUGUUACUCGUAUGUACUCGUGUGUUACUCGUAUGUACUCGUAUGUUACUCGUAUGUUACUCGUAUGUACUCGUAUGUACUUGUGUGUUACUCGUAUGUUACUCGUAUGUACUCGUGUGUUACUCGUAUGUACUCGUGUGAUGUUUU